CUGAUAUCCUUCCCUCUUUUUGGACAGAAUCAUCCAAAUCUUGUUUCACUUCCUCCUCUUCCUGAAGGUGGGGAAGUCGAAGAAAGGACCGUUAUCUCUAAUGAUAACCAAGAGGCCUCCUCUUUUGUGAAUGAACCCGCAGAUUCUCGAAAAUCUGCGGGAUCUGCUGAAAAAGAUGCUGCUUCUGAAGACACUACAUCGGCCCAAUCUCCUCCUCCUGCUGAUUCUCCAAAGAACAAAAGGAAGAGGGGUGAUGUCGAAGAUUCCGGGACUUCUAAACCCGAAGAAGCUGCUCCUUUACCACAAAAGGCAGCUUAUGACCCAUAUCUUGCGAGUAUCAUCAGUUCUGAUGAUGACGAGGAAACGCCAACUUUGGAUGUGGCUGCUCGAACGAGUAUGUCACAUACCCUAGUUAUUUCAGAGCCACGAGUUGAAGGAGAGGAAUCCUCGCCUCCUCAACAAAACAUCGGCGCUUCUACUCCUCCUUCGAGCCCCCGAGCCCCUUCACCGAAAAGGGCAAGGACGGAGAUUGUCUCGGAGCCUACUCUCCAAUUGAGUAGCUCUUCGAACCUUCUCAUGGAAGAUGUAAGUUCUUUACUUUUUUUGUCAAUGUUUAUGUUUUCUUUGUUUGCUUCUGCGUAUCACUAUAUUUUUCUCAUACCCCCAUUCUCUCUUUGUCCUCUUGCUUUUAUAGCCUGUGAUCAAGGAUCUUCUUCGCAUCGGUGCCCAAUUUGUUGGGUACCGUGAAUAUGCAAAUAAAACUGAAGAAAAACUGGCGGAAGCCAAUGAUCGUGCCAAUACACUUGCUCAGCAAUUAGAGCAAAGUGAAAAGGCUCGCAAAAAGGCAGAGUCAGAUGCUAUUGAUGCACGAGCAGAGGCUGAUAAAGCCAAGGCUGACGCUGCUGGUGUCGAAGAUCUCAGAAAGAGGCUUCACACCGCUGAAACUUCCCUGAGCGAUCACAUAGCCGCCCAGUCUGCUCGCGAGGAGGCGAUCCGUAAGCGUUUAACGACGCAGAGUCGCCGCUUCGUAGCUAGAACAGCUCAAGAAUUUCAACUUGAUGAACCCGCCAAUGAUUCUCUUCUUGACGCCCUUUCACUCCUUGAAGUUCAUGGAUCAGAGGCACGCGAAGGCAUUGAUCAGGCUAAAGCGGGGUUGUCGCGGCUUUUCCCUUAUUUCUUCCCCAAGAAAGAGGAACCCGCAACUUUCCUUGACCUCGCCAAG